CACGUAGUUAGCCGUGGCUUAUUCAUCAGGUACCGUCAUAAUCGUCCCUGAUAAAAGAGGUUUACAACCCGAAGGCCUUCAUCCCUCACGCGGCGUUGCUGCUUCAGGCUUGCGCCCAUUGAGCAAAAUUCCCGACUGCUGCCUCCCGUAGGAGUCUGGGCCGUGUCUCAGUCCCAGUCUGGGUGAUCGUCCUCUCAGACCACCUACCGAUCGUCGCCUUGGUGAGCCAUUACCCCCACCAACGAGCUAAUCGGACGCAGGCCCCUCCCGAAGCGCAUUGCUGCUUUGAUCGAUCGAAUGAACAAACGAUCACAUGCGGUAUUAGCCACCCUUUCGGGCAGUUAUUCCCCAUUCGGGGAGUCACCUACGCGUUACUCAGCCGUCCGCCACUAACUUUUCAGAGCAAGCCCUAGAAAACGUCCGUUCGACUUGCAUGUCUAAUGCACGCCGCCAGCGUUUAUCCUGAGCCAGGAUCAAACUCU
rnacentral:rRNA from 1 species